rnacentral:rRNA from 1 species
AACGAACGCUGGCGGCAUGCCUAAUACAUGCAGGUCGAGCGAACAGAUGGAGUGCUUGCACCUCUGACGUUAGCGGCGAACGGGUGAGUAACACGUAAGGAAUCUAGCUAUAAUCGGGGGAUAACAUUCGGAAACGGGUGCUAAUACCGCAUAAUAUCUUCUGCCGCAUGGAAGAAGAUUGAAAGACGGCUGUGCUGUCCAUUAUAGAUGACCUUGCGGUGCAUUAGUUAGUUGGUGGGGUAACGGCCUACCAAGCCGAUGAUGCAUAGCCGACCUGAGAGGGUGGUCGGCCACAUUGGGACUGAGACACGGCCCAAACUCCUACGGGAGGCAGCAGUAGGGAAUCUUCCGCAAUGGGCGAAAGCCUGACGGAGCAAUGCCGCGUGAGUGAAGAAGGCCUUCGGGUCGUAAAACUCUGUUAUAAGAGAAGAACAAAUUGUAGAGUAACUGCUACAGUCUUGACGGUAUCUUAUCAGAAAGCCACGGCUAACUACGUGCCAGCCGCCGCAGUAA